CCUACGGGAGGCAGCAGUGAGGAAUCUUGGUCAAUGGACGAGAGUCUGAACCAGCCAAGUAGCGUGAAGGAUGCCUGCCCUAUGGGUUGUAAACUUCUUUUAUAUGGGAAUAAACUGUUCCACGUGUGGGAUUUUGUAUGUACCAUAUGAAUAAAGAUAGGCUAACACAGUGCCAUCCGACGCGGUAAUACGGAGGAUCCGAGCGUUGUCCGGAUUUGUUGGGUUUAAAGGGAGCGUAGGGUGAUUGUUAAGUAAGUUGUGAAAGGUUGCGGUGCAACCGGAAAAUUGACGUUGAAACUGGGAGUCUUGAGUACAGUAGAGGUGGGCGGAAUUCGUGGUGUAGCGGGGAAAUGCUUAGAUAUGACGAAGAAAUCCGAUUGCGAAGGCAGUUCACUGGA
rnacentral:rRNA from 1 species